CACCAUUCAAAAUCUCUGCAAUUCUAGAGCCUCUAGCUCAAUUUUCUAUCGCUGACGUGACAAUAUAAUUCCACAUCACUUAUUUUAUUUUAAAAAACACAAAAUCUAACAUUUCUCUACCCCAAUUCCCAAAACCUAAAAUCAAUUCCCCUUCUUCCAUCUCUCACAUCCGAUUCUCCCCUCCCCGCCGCCGCAAUCUGCCCUACUGCGCCCCGCCCCUCCACCGCCACGAUCUGCUUCGCCGGACCACCUUCAAACCUGAAACCCUAAUCUAGCGCGCCUCCACAAUGUGCACACACUUGCGCCCCUCUUCUUCUCUCCUCUGAGGCGCGACCAGACCCCGUCGCAUCUCAUUCGGCCACCGUCGCGUCGCCCCGCUCGCCGUCACGCCGCGCUGCGCCGUCGCGACCAGAGCAGUCCGCCAGUUGCGCGCUUGGAGCAGGGGAUGAUACAGUCAGGUUUAUGCUGAGUUGGCUUCAAAGUAUCGUGUUCAAGUUUUCAAGACUUUGAAGAUCAAAGUGGGGAAGAACUUGACAUCUGAUAUUGAAGUUCUUAAAGCUAUACGCACAGUCCAUUCUGAUUGUUUGUUCAUUUUAGAUGCUAAUGAAGGUUAUAGCUCUGAGGAAACCAUUCAAGUUCUCCAAAAAUUACACGGUAACAAAGUAAUUCUGAAUGUGUGCAUUCAUGCCAAGGCUGCGUGAACUUGCAUUAGUAGUAAAUAUAUGUUUCUUCUACCUGCGUAUAUUCUUGGAAAGAUCUCAGUUUCCUUCUCUUUUCUGGCAGAAAUGGAGGUAAUGCCUAUUCUUUUUGAACAGCCAGUUCACAGAGAUGAUUGGAAGGGUUUUGGUCAUGUUAGUCACGUUGCAAAAACCAAGUACGGGGUAUCUGUUGUUGCUGAUGAAAGUUGUCAAUGGGUCAGCCCCUUUUCUACUUGUAGUUGUGUUGCAUGGAUGAUUCUUUUGGGCUAUCUGAUAUUAUUUUUCUUUGCUUAUAGUUGGUACUAAAAAAUGAUGCUAUUUUGAUGCCAAAAAAUAUCUUCCUGGAUUGAUGUCAUUUUAUCCAACGGUUUGCUUCAAAAGGAUGACUAUAUUAUGAUUUUUGUUUAUGGAAAUCGAAUCACCAAAGUAGGUUGAUUCUGCAAAACCAACAUAUUAGAUCAUCUGCUUUGCCAUUUGCUGGGUCAGAUCUGGUCCUAAGCCCUUCACAGUGGAGCAGUCAUGUUGUUGGUUUGUCCUUCAUCUUAUACAGCUAUUCUUUUAUUUUUAUGUAUGUUCUGAUCAUACUUGCAAUUGUGUGCUUGAGCUUCUGUAAUCAGGCUCAGCCAUGUCAAGGAUAUCAUUAUAAAGCAUAUACAAUAUUAUGAUAUUGGCUGUAAGUAAGCGAUUGCUUUACUUCCCUGUUUUGUCGUGGCUGAGAUCUCCGAGCACAUCACCAACAAAGUCUUCGAGCACUGCAUAAAAAGGGGUUAUGGAAUGCAAAAUCGUCCAUGUUUUUGCUAAAGCAUUUUGUUUAUCUGUGUAAAGCAUUGAACUACAGUUGAUAGUUGAUUGGACUACAGUUGAUAGUUGAGUAGUUUUUUAGUUAGAUUUGUUGUUAUGGUGUAUUAGUCUUUGAGGUAAGUUUUGUAAUUAUUGCAACUGAACUACAGUUUAUAGAGGAUUUUGAAGGUUCUCUAUUACAAGUUAGAUUACUUGUAGAGCUCAUAGAUUAAAUUUGGUCGUCUCUUUUAUCUUUUUGUUGUGGGGAAGGUUGGCUACUAUUUUAUUGGUGAAUUAUGAAUUUAUAAUAUAUAUAAAAUAUAUUUUAAAUAAAAAAUUAAAAUGUAUUUUUGACGUAUCGUAUCAUGUUUUUUGGAAAAAUGACGUAUUUACGUCCCCGUAUCAUUUUCAUAUUACGUAUUCGUUCCCAGGCUUCAUCGAAUUAUUAUAUUAUUCAAUUAAUAUUUAUCGUUAUUUUCAAGCCUCGCGGGUAUCCGACGGGUAGUGGGUGACGGAUAUCUGGCGGGUGGCGGGUUGGUGGAUACCCAACGGGUGGCGGGUAUCCGCGAGUCGUGUGUAUGGGUGGCAAAUAGUAGUGUACAAGAAGUUGAAAUUUUCUCUAAAAUUGCUGUAAUUUCGUGGUGAUUUAUUUGUUGGGUGGUUUAUUGCAUUUGUUGG